rnacentral:rRNA from 1 species
UACGGAGGAGGCAAGCGUUAUCCGGAAUUAUUGGGCGUAAAGCGUCCGCAGGUGGCACUUCAAGUCUGUCGUCAAAGACUGGGGCUUAACCCUGGAGAGGCGGUGGAAACUGAAGCGCUAGAGUGCGGUAGGGGUAGAGGGAAUUCCCGGUGUAGCGGUGAAAUGCGUAGAGAUCGGGAAGAACAUCGGUGGCGAAAGCGACUACCUGGACCAGCACUGACACUGAGGCACGAAAGCGUGGGGAGCAAACAGG